CAGUGCUCAUGUGGUCAACAUCAAACCGAAAUUGCCACACCACACUGGUAUGACGCUCGUGUUUUGCGCUAGGAUCGAAACUUCAGUAUUACAAGUAUUUGCUCUGUCUCCACAUAUUCAUGUACUGGUAAUAACAAUGGUGCUGAAUUGUUGCUGUUAGAGAUCAAGAUCGAAAUUCAGUUACGUUUCAUAGGUAAAAAAUAUAUAAAAAACAGCAUUUUGUGUUUUAUUUUAUUGACCACACUAUGAAAACAAUCCUAUAAAAUUAAUCACAAAAUAAAGAAAUGAGCUGGUACAAGUCACAAUAAUCUGUACUGAGAAAUGGAAGCAGUGUGUUCUGACUUUAACAGAAACUGGCUGUUGUAGCAAUGUACACCAUCAGACACAUCUGAGGCAGACAUUGAAGAACAGCCCAGCACUUGUCUAAACAAGUGUGGGAAAGAAACUGCCUAGUAAUCACACCCAGGCUGGCUGGUGCAUCAUCGAUGGUCAUUAACCUGCUGUGCAGAUUCGAUCUGGUUCUUCCUCAGCUUCCUUCCUUCAGCUAGUGCACUGCAAAUUGUAAAUUAUGAGAAGAUCUUACAACCCCUAUAGUUUACCAUAAUACUUUUUUUACUCCUAGGUGAAGUGAUGUACAACACUGAUAGUUGAAGAUUAAAUUUCAAUU